rnacentral:lncRNA from 1 species
GCUACAGUAUGCCAGAGUGAGGCCCAGAAGAUGCCUAACAAGAGGUAGUGGUGGGAAUUCUGGCUUGUAGUCUGACGCCUUUGUGUUUGAAAAUUGUAUCAUACGCCCUCAUUUAAAUACCAGGAUAAUUAGAUCUCCAUAGGUAAGGUUAUCAGCUUUUCACUUCCUUGCAAUCAAAAGACAUUCUUUUUCUCUAUCACGUUGACCUUGUGCAUUACUGCACCCCAUACAAAAGCAGGACUUUGGCACACAGAAUUUUCCUGCAGGCCUGUAUGAGCCACAGACAUCUUGCUUCAUCCAAAGAGAUAUUUUAUGGCUCCUGAUAUGGUUCAUUAUCUACUACAGUCUCUGAACCUUCCCCCGUCCACCAUCAACAUAAAAAAUAAUAAUAAUAAGGUCACAUGUAAGCUGAUCGAAGGAAAGCAUAAAGAAGCAAAAUGAAGAAAACAGAAAGUUCUAUGACCAGUGAUUUGUUCCCCUAAUGGGCAAUCCCUAGGAAGGAAGGGUAAUGGAAAACCUGAGGUUUGUGCUCAUCUCCAUAAGGGCAAUGAGGAGGGUAAGUUUGAGUAGUGUGAUUUCCCUAUCAUUUUGUUCACUGUCAGUUAACAAUGGCCAUUUCUAGCUAUUUGAUGUGUGAGUGAAGGUACACAGAAAAGCAGUAAUGUUCUCAUAGAAUGUUGCUAAGGAACCAUCAGGGAAGCUAAUUUUAAAGGUCUGUACCAACUAUCUUUUCAAUGCUGAACACCACUGAUUGAUUUUUACCAGAUAAAACUCUUUACCUGUCUUGCACUAACUCCUUGCCCCAUCCUUAUCCUAACUCUAUUAGGUAUCUCCUCUUCUUAGAUGUCAUUAUUUAGAACGAGAAGACCAUAGACGAGCUUGAUAGAAAAUAAAAUGCUUUCCCUUUUGCUAUUAUCACUUUGUCCUUCCAGGUUCUACUAGGGUCCACUGUGUAGCAAAGAAAGUAUUAGAAAUGCAAAGGAAGAACUAGUUCUUGGCUUUUGAAGCCAUGUGGUUCCCAACAUGGGGAAAUAAUGUGGAGAUAUAUUUUCCGUGAGUGAAUUUCUGAAUUAGACUUGUGUCGAAGUUUCUUCUUCAAGGUUGCAUGGUAGUUAGAGGUGUCAGGGUUUUGGCCUCUACCAUACAUUUUAUCUCCCCUUCUCUUUUUCUUAAUGAUCAUUGACGUGUUUCCUCCCAGCUUCAUGAACUGCUGGCCCCUUUCCCUGAUCUGUAAGAGGUUAAAUGUUAAAGGUUACUAGCUGAAUAUCUCUUCCAUGUCUAACAGGAAUGUAGCCAUAGAAGGAACAGCCACACAGCUCCUGCCCAGCUCCACUCUGAUAAGCUUGAAAAUAAAAUCCUUUGCACUGGCUAGCUGUACUUCACUUAUAGAGUCCUUGCUUGUAGACUAAGUAUAGAAGGAACUUCCCAACACAUUAGGAGUAUAGCUUCCCUACUGUAGUAUUUGAAGUUCAUUGGACUAAUGUGUCAUUUUACUAGUUUUAGUUUUGUUUUGCUUGUUUGGGACCUUGGGAACCUCUGUUCAGGCCCUGUGGAUAAUUUUAUUAAAUUAGAACUUAAUGAAGACAAUGAUCUGCUAAAGGCGGAUUUGAGUGUGCUGAUAUAGAAGUGGCCUUAUCAGAUAUUUGUUCCAUUGGCUAAAUUUUUUUACUUAAUCAUAGUCUGGUGGCUUGAGAAAAUUAACUCAUUCCAGAAAUGAAAAACAAAAACAAAAACAAAAACAAAACCC